GUGCUCACUUCAGCAGCACAUACACUAAAACUGAAACAGUACAGAGGAGAUUAGCAUGGCCCCUGUGCAAGGAUGACACACAAAUUCGUGAAGCAUUCCUUAUUUUG